rnacentral:rRNA from 1 species
UGGCGGCGUGCUUAACACAUGCAAGUCGAACGAGGAUCAGGGAGAGCUUGACUUGAACUGAUUCGAGUGGCGGACGGGUGAGUAACGCGUGAGCAACCUGUCUCACACAGGGGAAUAACGCAUCGAAAGAUGUGCUAAUACCGCAUAGGACCACGGGAGGUACAUCCUUACUGAAGGUGAAAGGAGUAAUCCGGUGUGAGGUGGGCUCGCGUACUGAUUAGAUAGUUUGGUGAGGUAACGGCCCACCAAGUCAACGAUUCAGUAGCCGACCUGAGAGGGUGAUCGGCCACAUUGGGACUGAGACACGGCCCAGACUCCUACGGGAGGCAGCAGUGGGGAAUAUUGGGCAAUGGGCGCAAAGCCUGACCCAGCAACGCCGCGUGAAGGAAGAAGGUUUUCGGAUCGUAAACUUCUGUCCUUGGUGAAGAGUCAGUUAGAACGGUAGCCAAGGAGGAAGCCCCGGCUAACUACGUGCCAGCCGCGGC